CAGCAGCCGCGGGAAUACGAAGGGGGCUAGCGUUGCUCGGAAUGACUGGGCGUAAAGGGCGCGUAGGCGGCGCAUACAGUCAGAUGUGAAAUUCCUGGGCUUAACCUGGGGGCUGCAUUUGAUACGUAUGAGCUAGAGUGGGGAAGAGGGUUGUGGAAUUCCCAGUGUAGAGGUGAAAUUCGUAGAUAUUGGGAAGAACACCGGUGGCGAAGGCGGCAACCUGGUCCUUGACUGACGCUGAGGCGCGAAAGCGUGGGGAGCAAACAGGAUUAGAUACCCCGGUAGUCCCUGUCUCUUAUAC
rnacentral:rRNA from 1 species